AAACUAGUAGAAAAGGAAAAGCA
rnacentral:piRNA from 1 species